rnacentral:RNase_P_RNA from 1 species
CCAGCAGGCCGGGCGAUCGCUCCGAUUCCAUCGGAGAGGAAGGUCCGAGCUCCUCCGGGCAGCGCACUGGGUAACGCCCAGGCUUCGGCUGCGCAAGUGGCCGGGGACGGAGAGUGGCACAGAAACAUACCCCCCGGUACACGGGGAAGGGUGAAAUGGCGGGGUAAGAGCCCACCGGUGGCGGUGUAACCCGCCGGCCGGCCAAACCCUGCGCGGUGCAAGGCCAAAUAGGAGGGUGUCAAGGGCGCCCGGCCCAAACCCUCGGGUUGGCCGCUUGAGGCCCUGAGUAAUCAGGGUCCUAGAUUGAUGAUCGCCGCCGUUAUCGACGGUACAGAACUCGGCCUACAGGUCUGCUGGACAU